CCUACGGGUGGCAGCAGUGAGGAAUAUUGGUCAAUGGGCGCGAGCCUGAACCAGCCACGUCGCGUGAGGGAAGACGGUCCUAUGGAUUGUAAACCUCUUUUGUCGGGGAGCAAAAGACGCCACGCGUGGCGUUCCGAGAGUACCCGAAGAAAAAGCAUCGGCUAACUCCGUGCCAGCAGCCGCGGUAAUACGGAGGAUGCGAGCGUUAUCCGGAUUUGUUGGGUUUAAGGGGUGGGAAGGAGGAAGGUCAAGUCAGCGGGAAAAUUGAGAGGCUCAACCUCUUCGAGCCGUUGAAACUGGUUUUCUUGAGUGAGGGAGAAGUAUGCGGAAUGCGUGGUGUAGCGGUGAAAUGCAUAGAUAUCACGCAGAACUCCGAUUGCGAAGGCAGCAUACCGGCGCUCAACUGACGCUCAGGCACGAAAGUGUGGGUAUCGAACAGGAUUAGAUACCCGUGUAGUC
rnacentral:rRNA from 1 species